rnacentral:lncRNA from 10 species
ACACCUUCACAACCUCAAUACCCAGCUUUGUGGGGCCAGCAGGACUUCUCCGGUCCUGCAUUCGGUAAUUCAAAUUGAGUAUUUCUUUAGCAACUCUUGCAAUUCUAAUAAAGGCAAUACCUAAUAUUUUAUUCGCUUCUGUGAGUCUUAAUUCAUAAAUUUUUUUUGUUUUGUGUUUUACUGUGGACGUUAGCACUACAUUAGGCGUUCCUUGGAUUUUCGUUUAUUUCUUCUUGGUGUCCACUGUCUCCCUAGCAGCUUGAAAGACGCAAAGUACAGUUUUCGUUUAAGUAGCAAUUUAUUUUGGGGAAGAGGUUUUUUUUUUUUUCUUGUAAGGAAUUUAUUAUCACAAUCUUCUCAAAUUCAUAUUUUAAAAUAUCUUCUAUGUAGUUUAUCAAAGUAAGGAUUUAUAUACUUGUUUUAUGGAUGGCAAUCACUUGAAGUUUUUGUUUAGGCAUAGAUUUUAUUUUUUUUUUAAUUUCUUUAAAUACAAACCUACUCUUAACCCGCAGGCAGAUCUUUGAGAAUAAUGUAUCCAUUGCAGUCAAUAACCCCAAUAAACAGAUUCUGGAUUCUCUCCAUAACAGUUUGAUUCGGCCACGUAGCUCAUGUAUUAAAGUCAGAAGGAAUAUGAGAGGCCUCUAAUAGGAAAAGAGUGUGGAUAACAAUAAAUAUCCCAGAUUGUAUUCAAUGCUAAUAUCUCCUAUACUUCUUGAAUUUAAAAACCAAGCAGCUACUUCUUGAAUUUCUUUCCGUUCCCUUGUUCUCGGUUAUCCUCUUGCUUCCAAUGAACUCAAAAUAGGAGCAAAAUAAGCUAAGUAGAAAACAAAUAGGCCGGGUGCGGUGGCUCACGCGUGUAAUCCCAGCACUUUGGGAGGCCGAGGUGGGCGGAUCACUUGAGGUCAGGAUUUCGACACCAGCUUGGCCAACAUGGUGAAACUCUGUCUCUACUAAAAACCAACCAACAAACAAACAAAACUAACCAGGCGUCGUUGCGGGCGCCUGUAAUCCCAGCUACUUGGGAGGCUGAGGCAGGAGAAUCGAUUGAACCUGGGAGGCUGAGAUUGCAGUUAGCCGAGAUCACGCCACUGCACUCCAGCGUGGGCAACAGAGCGAGACGGUCUAAAAAAAAAAAAAAAAAAAGUCCAAAGGGCACAGCCAGGUUAAACAUAACCCAUUUGGUUGAGUUACUUUCUUCAGUAUAGUUAUUAAAAACAACUAAAAAAAAAUCCCAGGAAAUUAAACUUGCUAUUUUUGUUAACGUUAAUAUAUUAGGAAGGCAGGUACGGGGGCUCACGCCUGUAAUCCCAGCACUUUGGGAGGCCGAGGUGGGUGGAUCACCUGAGUUCAGGAGUUCGAGACUAGCCUGGCCAACAUGGUGAAACCCCGUCUCUACUUUUUUUUUUUUUUUUUUUUUGAGACAGAAUUUCUAUCUUCCUGCCCAGGCUGGAGUACAAUGGCGCAAUCUCGGCUCACCGCAACCUCC